rnacentral:rRNA from 1 species
GACGAACGCUGGCGGCGUGCCUAAUACAUGCAAGUCGAACGCAGUGGGGACGGGUGAGUAACACGUGGGUAACCUCCCAUCAGAGGGGAUAACACUUGGAAACAGGUGCUAAACCCUAUUGGUGCGGCCGAUAUCGGAUUAGCUAGUUGGUGGGGUAAAGGCUCACCAAGGCAACGAUCCGUAGCUGGGUUGAGAGGACGACCAGCCACACUGGGACUGAGACACGGCCCAGACUCCUACGGGAGGCAGCAGUGGGGAAUUUUCGGCAAUGGACGAAAGUCUGACCGAGCAACGCCGCGUGAGUGAAGAAGGUUUUCGGAUCGUAAAACUCUGUUGUUAGAGAAGCGGUAUCUAACCAGAAAGCCACGGCUAACUACGUGCCAGCCGCCGCGGUAAUAC